ACUUGGGGAAGGAGGCCAGGCAUUUGUUGACAAAUCCAGACCCCUGAGGAGAAGUCUAGCAAGAUCAGGACCACGGCUAGCAGAGCUCCAGCCUUGCGGAUAGCUAAUGAAGGAAACCUGACACACGGACUUGCUCCAGGCUGAGCCUUGCACCCAUGAACCCACAAUGGACCUUCAAAGCAGGGAGUGCCCUUCUGAAGACCAACCAUCCUUGUACCAGCCGUACCUGGUCUGGCUGAAUGACACAGGGUCCCCACAGCCAGCUUCUCUGCUUUAGAAGUUUUCUUACACCUAUGCCUUCCUUUCCACCCCAUGUCCUGCC